AUGUUUUUUUACAGUGUAAGGAUAUGGGUAGGAUUUGGAUUGAAAAAAAAAAGAAAAUCUGUUCUUGUCAGUUUAAUAUCUGAUACGUCCUCUAUAUUAAACAGAUUUUUAGAGCUGGGAGCCGGAAAAGGGGCUUGCUACACCCACUCUGCAGAUCGGCCUGGUAUUGCAUUACUGCCAGGUUUGGUGCACCGUUU